rnacentral:rRNA from 1 species
CAGUUAACGCGUAAAAUAUCUCGCCUGGGGAGUACGGUCGCAAGGUUGAAACUCAAAGGAAUUGACGGGGGCCCGCACAAGCGGUGGAGUAUGUGGUUUAAUUCGAUGCAACGCGAAGAACCUUACCUGGACUUGACAUUGUUUGAACCCUUAAGAAAUUAGUCGGUCUCUAUGGAGACAAAAAAACACAGGGGGCACGUCGGUGUUCAGCUCUUGUCCCGUGAGGUGUGGUUAAGUCCCGCACCGAGCGCAAACCUCAUCCUAUUAGGCCAGGGAACAUAAUGGGGAACUCAUGGGAGAGUGCCGCCGACAAUGCGGAGGAAGGCGGGGAUGAGGUCAAGUCUUCAUGCCCCUUAUGUCCUUGGGUACACACGUAUUCCACAGGGGUUCAACCAAGGGAAAGGAAGCCCGGGGGGUAAGCGAACUCCCGAAACAAGCUUUCCGUUCGGAAUGCAGGUUGCAAAUUGCCCUCCGAAGUCGGAAUUGGUAGUAAUCCCAGAUUAACAAAAUGCGGUGAAAAUGUUCCCGGGCC